rnacentral:rRNA from 1 species
UACAGAGGGUGCAAGCGUUGUUCGGAAUUAUUGGGCGUAAAGCGCGUGUAGGCGGUGAUGCAUGUCGGGUGUGAAAGCCCUCAGCUUAACUGAGGAAGUGCGCCCGAAACUGCAUCGCUGGAGUGUCGGAGAGGAAGGCGGAAUUCCCGGUGUAGAGGUGAAAUGCGUAGAUAUCUGGAGGAACACCGGUGGCGAAGGCGGCAUCCUGGACCGGUAUUGACGCUGAGGCGCGAAAGCCAGGGGAGCAAACGGG